AUUGAACGCUGGCGGCAGGCCUAACACAUGCAAGUCGAGCGGUAGAGAGAAGCUUGCUUCUCUUGAGAGCGGCGGACGGGUGAGUAAUGCCUAGGAAUCUGCCUGGUAGUGGGGGAUAACGUUCGGAAACGGACGCUAAUACCGCAUACGUCCUACGGGAGAAAGCAGGGGACCUUCGGGCCUUGCGCUAUCAGAUGAGCCUAGGUCGGAUUAGCUAGUUGGUGGGGUAAUGGCUCACCAAGGCGACGAUCCGUAACUGGUCUGAGAGGAUGAUCANUCACACUGGAACUGAGACACGGUCCAGACUCCUACGGGAGGCAGCAGUGGGGAAUAUUGGACAAUGGGCGAAAGCCUGAUCCAGCCAUGCCGCGUGUGUGAAGAAGGUCUUCGGAUUGUAAAGCACUUUAAGUUGGGAGGAAGGGCCAUUACCUAAUACGUGAUGGUUUUGACGUUACCGACAGAAUAAGCACCGGCUAACUCUGUGCCAGCANCCGCGGUAAUACAGAGGGUGCAAGCGUUAAUCGGAAUUACUGGGCGUAAAGCGCGCGUANGUGGUUUGUUAAGUUGGAUGUGAAAUCCCCGGGCUCAACCUGGGAACUGCAUUCNAAACUGACUGACUACAG
rnacentral:rRNA from 1 species